rnacentral:lncRNA from 1 species
GAAGAUGAUUAACAGAAAAAGCAAAAAUAUAAGAUAGCAAAAGAAAAAAAUUAUGCAGAUUACCUAGGGUGAUAGGGAGUCAAGGAAGAGUCACUGCUAGCUGUUUUUUAUCUUUCUUUCACAAUAUCCCAUAUAUCCAGUAAGGACAUUGCUGAUGGGAGAAGAGGUGUAUGCCUUGCUUUGCAGAGUCUAUAGUUUGGUGGUGAAGUGAUGCUUUGAUCACAGAAUAUUUUUUCCUAAUGACAUUUUAUAGGAUUAGAAAUGUGUUUUCUGGAAGAAAGUAAUGUUUACUCCAAGUCAAAAAUCAUGUCCUGAACUGGAGUCAGCUUCUAAAAAAGUACAAUGUGUAAAUGCCAAGACUGAGAGGGAGUUUUUUUGAGUACAAAGUAUUACUCAGAAUAAGCUAAGAAACACAAAUAUUUUCUUCUUAAGGCAACUCCCACACCCAGGCAAGGCAGUGUGGUGGCUAAGAGCACAGACUUUCGAACCAGACAGCUUAGUUUCCACCCCUGCUCAUCUACUUCUUAGUGAGUGGCCCUGGCUAAUUUCUCAGUGGCUUGUUUUCUUUUUUUCUUCCUCCCUCCCCACUUCCUUCCUACUGUCUCCCUUCCUUCCUUCUUUCUUUCCAGUAUGGGGCUACUUAAAAGCACUUUACCUCAUAAUAUUGUGGUGAGUAUUAAUGAGCUUCUGUAUGAAAAGUUGUGAGGACACUCAGAAUAUCCCUUUUAAUUUAUGUAUCACUAGAACACAAAUCACCCCAACACAUAGCUUAAAAGAAGAAUCAUCAUUUAUGUUCACCAUUUCUGAAGGUCUGGAGUUCAGGAGCAGCUUAGCUGGGUGAUUCUGGCUCAAGACUUCUCAUGAAGUUGGAGUCAGAUGUCUGCUGAGGCUAAGGUCAUCCAAAGGCCCAACUGCGCUGGAGAGUCCACUUCCACUCACAUGUCUGGCAAGUUGGCACGGGCUGUUGGCAGGAGACCUCAGUGCAUCUUUACAUGAGCCUCUCCAUGGGAUCGCCUGAGUGUCCUCACAACAUGACUGCCAGCUUCCCCUUGAGUGAGUGAUCCAGGAGACCAAGGUGGAACUGCAGUGACGUGUACGGCCUAGACUUGGAAGUCACACGUUGUUGCUUCUCCUUUAUUCUACUCUUACUCAGGAGGAGGGAACUGCACAAUGGCAUGAUUAUCAGGAGGUGACCAUCAGUCGGGGCCAUCUUGGGGGCUGGCUACCACACCCUUUGGGGAGGGACUGUUUCUAUGGGUAUGGGACAGUUAAAUACAGAAUAUUUUAAAGUAGCGGACUCCAUAUGGACACUCAGCAUUAUUUUCUCAAAGAAGAGUUUUGUGAACAUGACUGCAUUGCUCUAACUCACAUCUCAGGUGUUUUGGUUUGUAUUUCCCUGAAAGUAGAACCUGGGGCAAGGACUUGGUUACCUUCCCCUGGGGAGGUAACCACCCCUGCCUGUCAGGUUGGUACUUACAUUCAGGGUCAGAGGUCCUUAUGGUGUUGGGGGAGGCUCUGAGUUAAAGUGGCAACCUUGGCUCUUUCUGCAGGUGGGAUACUGUGAGCUCAUAGGUGGGCUGAGGGAUGUGAUGUGGACCCUAGAGACAUUUGCUCCAUCAGGUUUGCAGGACCUAGGGAUUAAAUAGAUAUGUUAGUUUGGCUCCUCCAAGAAGCAGAUGUCAAGAGAAGGUUGGACAUGCAAGGAAUAUAAUGGGGAAUGUGCCCUGUGGAAGAUGGGAGGAAAUUGGAAGAGGCUGGAUGAGCUACCAGACGGUGAUACAAGUCUGCGCUCUGGGGGAGGAGACAAGAAGAAAAAAAGGUUGGGUAGAAAGAGUCUCAGAUGGUGGCACAAGUUGAAGAAAGGUUCAGCCAGGCUGAUGGGGGGAGCUCAAGCCAAAACCUCCCAUGGAAAGCAUCCUGGGUUUCACAGGACUGCCUGCCCUGUUGUGCAGCCUGUGUGUAGCAUGGCCUUGGUGCCAAUGUAGGAGUGGAUUCAUUUCAACUCGGCCAGCAGGCAAUUACCCUCCCUCAGUUACGGAUCUCAGAGGCACAUCCUCCUGGCAGCCAGGAGGUUUUGUGCAUGAGCAGCACAGGUAGUUGCAACAAGUUUUGUAUUUGGGAAAACCACAGGUCACCCUGAGAUAGUAAGAUCUUUCCUUCUAUCUUCUGUCUGCCACAUUGUCUGAAAUUCCACCAUAAGAAAGUAAUCCCUUUGUUUAAUUGUUACCCUCUCUUCUACCUCAACUCUGAGUAGGAACAUCUUUCUUCUUACUUCUAACAUCUUAGAGAAGAGUUACUAACACUUUAAUAUGAACAAAUUGUCCAGAUUAUUUUAUUCUAUGGCAGACAGAAGGAAUCUGAGACAGCGUGAAGGCAUGUGGAAUUUGGGUGAAGAGCACUUAAGAGCACUUAAUAUGAAGGAUAGGGGACCACCCUGGGUCCAUGUCCCAGUUGAGCUUAUGGCUUGCCUCUGUUGGGAAUUCGACAAAAGCAACAUUCAGACUCUGUAGUGAAACAGCCAGUGAAGUGCACUUUAAGCAAGUGUCACCGCUCUUGGUUCCGCACUACUUCCCACCACCUCCUCAAUGUUUUGAAGGAGGGUGUAUUAAAAAUUUUUUAGAUUCCGCAUGUAAGUGAGAUCGUAUGGUAUUUUUCUUUCUCUGACUUAUUUCACUUAGCAUAAUGCCCUCAAGGUCUAUCUGUGUUGUAGCAAAUGGCAGCAUUUCCUCGUUUUUAAUGGCUGAAUAAUAUUCAAUUGUGUGGAUGUAUGUGGGUGUGUGUACAUGUGUGUGUGUAUGACACAAUGGAUAAAUAUCCUUUAUCCAUCAUCUGUCAAUAGAUGUUUCCAUGCCUUGGUUAUUGUAAAUAUUGCUGCAAUGAACAUGGGGGUGCAGAUACCUUUUCAAGUUCGUGUUUUCUUUCCCUUUGGAAAUAAUCCCAGAACUGGAACAUACAGCAGUUCUGUUUUUAAUUUUUUUGAGGAACCUCUAUACUGUUUUCCAUAGUGGCUGCACCAUUUUACAUUCCCACCAGCAAUGCACAAGAGUUCCCUUUUCUCCAUGUCCUCACCAGCGUUUAUCUUGUCUUUUUGAUGGUAGCCAUUCUAACAGCUAUCAAAUGGCAGAACCAAAAUUUGAAGUAAAAUUGUGUGAAUUCAAAGGCCUUGUAUUUACGGUAACAAACCCGACUAGUGUCCCUGAGGACUUGGGUUCUAUCCCUGGCCACGCUCAGUGGGUUAAGGAUCUGGUGUUGCUCUGAGCUGUGAUGUAGGUCGCAGACGCAACUCGAAUCCUGCCUGGCUGUGGCUGUGGUGUAGGCUGGCAGCUGAGGCUCCGAUUCGAGCUGGGAACUUCCUUAUGCUGUGGGUGUGGCCCUAAAAAACAAACAAACAAAAACCUUUAAAAAUAAUAAGCUUAAAGCUGUAGCUCACACACUAUUUGUUUUUGAAAAGGUUUAUUUUUGUUUUGUUAAUCUCACUUUGCUGUUUAUUUAGCUAAGGGUUUCUGUUGGCACUUGUAGGAACAUUUACCCCCUGUGCCUUUAUGAGGUUUUGGAAUCUGGUGAUCUCUUUCUUGGCUCUGCUAGUUCUCAAGGCCAGUGGAAGGAAUCCUUCCUGUACCUUCACAGGUGCUUUCCUCUCUCUCCUUCCACUGGACCUGUACAGAUCCUUGGUGGUCCCUCUGAAGACACUCAGCACAGAUUGUCUUUUAGAAUUCUAUUUAUUUCAAGCCUAAGAGUUCUUGAGUAUUUCUGCCCUUGGCUCUGAGGGCACGGAAAAUAAAGACACAGCCCUCUUGCCUCCUGGGGCUCUCAGUGGAGCUAGGGAGAAUGAUGGAAAACACAGCACGGCCACAAAGACAGUGUCUCCUGGGCUGGUGGGCAGGAGCAAGGUCCAGUUGCUGUGGGAGGCAGUGUGAGGGGAACAGGGGGAGACUCCUUUGGGAGGUGAAGUGCAGGGUUCGGGGGUGGGAAGGGAAAGACUAUUCUAGCAGCAAAGAAGAGAGCUUGAGCUUGAGCCUGAGCUUGAGCAGUCACAGGUGGUUUAUAUAGGAGAUGCUACAGAACUCUGAGUGGACGGGUGUCCUGGGGAGAGGGUGGAAGGGCAGAGACUAGAUUGCAACCCUGAAGUGGAUGAAGUGCAGAGGAUUCUCUAACCCUUAGGGAAGGCUCUAUCUGCUUCAGGUUACAGCCUGCAGGGCUGGGAGAUGGGCGGGAAUAUUGGCCCAUUGUUCCAUCUAAUGGCUUUCCUAGAAGGAAACCUCUGCCACAGAGUUACCUCUCAAGGUAACUCUGCCUAGCAGUGCUUUGCUUAGAGUAGAAAAUCAGUAAAUACGCAUUAAAAAAAUGUAUGUUUCUACACACACACACACCAAUUUAUAUUUUUCUGUUUUCUUCCUUUAAGUAGGGUAGUUAGGAAUAGAUUUAAACAGUAGGAGGAAGUUCUCUGAUCUCACCAACUGCAGGUUGGCAUGUGGUUGGGCUGAUAGGCUUCAGGGUUUUUUUUUUGCACAUUGAGGUGCUCUUUUUAAGAUGAAAGCACUUCCUCCUCUUCCUUUUUCAUGGUUUUUCAUCAUAGUUUUGACUGCUCUGAGCUUCUUCCUGGUCAGAACAAAUGCAUUUGGUAUGGCACUAAUACUGGGAUAUUUUAGGAGUGAAUUAACACAGGGAUCCCAGUGUCUAGAUAUUUGGGUUACCAGUAUUAUACUGCCUUCAUAGAGGUAAAGGGGAAAAUAACACACAUUCAUUUUCUUGCAUCCCAGAUCUCACUUAAUUUUCUCAGGCAUAAAUCAAUUUAUAGAUUCAAACAGAAAAAAAAUGUUUAUUCUGUAAAGAAAAGUAGAGAAAAAAAAAAAAAAAAGAAAAAAUACCUACCAAGUGCAAUUUUGAGGAAUGUAAAUAUUAGGGAUUUUUUUUUUUUUUUUGGCUUGACUUAAUUAAUGUUCAUUUUUUGUAGAAGUGUGAACACUUGCCUACCACCUUCUGUUGAUACUUCUGGGUUUAUUUUUAGAGAGAGGGAGAAAAAGAGGAAGAGAGAAUGAGAGAUCUUUAGACAUUUGGAUCCUUGUCUCCUACAUUAGAGAGUUUGAGAUGUAGAGUAAAAAUUAGGAAGUAGCAAAUAUUGUCCACAAAAUACCAAAGCUUAAUCCUUGGCCAGAGAUUUGGGCCUGAAACUUAGCAGUGAGGUUUAGCUCCUUUCCCCAUGUGAAGAAGACUCAUCUAUUUCCUCUUCAUUUGGCAUCAUUUUCCCAAAGCACACACACCGAUUAAUUGGUGGUUAUGAUGGAAUUAUAUCCUACUCAGCUUCACCUGAGAGAUUCUUAACCAUUUAAAAUUUAUUCAGAAAUAAAAACCCACUCUAGUCAGUGGAAAAACAACUUUAUAGGUCUAUGUUAUGCUCUAUUUAUAUUUAUUAAAUCCUCAUUUAUCCUGGGAAAAAGAUGAAGUCUUUUUUUUAAUUUAAUUUUUUUUUUUUUUUUUUUUUUUUAAGGUCGUACCUGAGGCAUAUGGAAGUUCCUGGGCCAGAGAUUGAGUCUAAGCCACAGCUUUUACCCGAGCUGUAGCUCUGGCAACUGCAGAUUCUUUAACCCACUGCCGGACCAGGGAUCAAACCCAGGCCUCCACAGCUACCCAGCAUGCUGCAAUAGGAUUCUUAACCUACUGUGCCAUGACAGGAACUCUAGGUCUUACACUUUUGUAUUGUUUUACUGUUUACAAAACUUGUUUCAUUCAUUAAGAGAUGGGAAUCUUACUACUAUAUAUGGGAAGACAUUUUAAUCUGAUUUUACAGUUAAGAAACCCAAACUUCAGAUAUUUCUUGAGAUCACUUGGCUAGCACUUGACACAGUCGUGUCUAAUACCUUUAUAUUCUCAAGCCUAUACUGGGGUUUGCU